AAGGAUCAUUACAGAGUUCCUGCCCUCACGGGUAGAAACCCCACCCUUGUGUAUAUUAUAUUGUUGCUUUAGCAGGUCGCCCUCUGGGCGUCGGCCUCGGCUGACUGUGCCUGCUAGAGGACCCUAAAUUUUGAAAUACAGUGUCGUCUGAGUACUAUUUAAUAGUUAAAACUUUCAACAACGGAUCUCUUGGUUCUGGCAUCGAUGAAGAACGCAGCGAAAUGCGAUAAGUAAUGUGAAUUGCAGAAUUCAGUGAAUCAUCGAAUCUUUGAACGCACAUUGCGCCCCUUGGUAUUCCGGGGGGCAUGCCUGUUCGAGCGUCAUUUAGACCAACUCCCGCUCCGGCGGGGUCUUGGGCUGCGCCUUUGGGCGGGCCUUAAAACCAGUGGCGGUGCCCUAAGGCUCUACGCGUAGUAAUUCUUCUCGCGAUAGGGUCCUUGCGGUGUCUUGCCAGCAACCCCCAACUCUCUAGGGUUGACCUCGGAUCAGGUAGGGAUACCCGCUGAACUUAAGCAUAUCA
rnacentral:rRNA from 1 species